CGGGUCAGAGCCCCCCGCCCGCACCCGGCCCGGCUCGGCACAGGAGCAGAGCAGAGCCCCCGCGGCUCGGCACGGCCCGGCACAGCACGGCACACCCCCGAGGCUCGCAGCCUCCCGCAGAGCCCGCCGGCUGCGCUCCGAACUGCCGCGGACCGUAAGCCAAGCGCCAGUGACGCUCGGUGCAGCGCACAGCGUACGUGUGUCUGCCUCUCCCGGGAGAACUGACGGUGCAGGUCCUUAAUUACCGUUUGUCACACUGGCUACCUGCCACUCCGGACAGCAGGCGUUUGCCACGGAAAGCCGGGAUACCUGCCUCAUUCCAUUGCCAGCUCCCUCUUUUGAGAAAGCAACCCCGAAGCAGGGGCUGGCAAAAGAAGUGUAAAGCUCCGAGUAUCUUUUCCACUCGAAACAGUGACCUAAUUCCUCAGGCUAGGAAGAUUAUGAAAUAGCAUCUUUUAGCAACAAAGAAAUGCUUCUCAUUUCACCAACAUCUUAGAAGAACAACAGAUUAGAACUGAGGUCACACAUCAACUUAGAGGAGUUUUGCUUUGGUUUAGAUACCAUGAGGCUUGGACAUUGACUUCAUUGCAAAAAAAUGCCASAGGAUGGGGAGAGGAAUACUGUAUUAAAAAGCUAGUAUUAUUCUAUCUUGCUUUGCUUAUUCUUCAAGUACCUUUUUUGCCAGCACUUGGAAGCAUCCUAAGAGGAUCACAUAAGUUUUUCAAAUCAUUAAUUAACCCUUUUUUUGUGGCUUCAGUACCACUGAUAUAAAUGGGAAGRCACCCAUGUUAUCCAACAGAUAUGCAAAGAGCCAUAAUGAAGUCUUCCAUGGUUUUGGGCAUUCAUGUGAAACAAUCACCACUUCAGACUUAUYUCCUUGUACAGCUUUAGAUGACUCUACACACUUCGUUGUUCUCCUGAUAUCACCCAUUCAGCCAUAUUUUACAAGCAUCUUCUUAAUCUAACAGCCACAGCCUGUGUGGCAAUUGGCAUUACAGGGUCAAGGUGCAAUUACUAAACAAUUUCUUAAGAAAAUGUGGAUACAAUCAUUCUUCUAAAACAGUUACGUACUUAGAUGUUUUCAUCCACUCUGCAUCACAGCUGCAAUCAACUAAGCCAUAUUUUUUGAGGAAAAAUACUAACUCAAUUGUAGAAAGCCCUUUUUUUAAGUGAAGCUUUUUUUGUUUUUACAUUGUUAAGUUAAAAUUAUGUUUCUAAUAGUUUGAAAUCAAUCUGGUACUCUGUACAAAGCAGACUUACAUACAGCACAUAAUCUUUUUCUACUUUUUAAAGAUGAAAAUAUUCGUCUCUGAUUUUAUUACAGGAAACAGACUAUUUAAAAUAGCUUG